rnacentral:lncRNA from 1 species
CGCCCUAGCCUGUACCAGGGACAUCAUAAGUCCUGGGAUUCCGGAAUCCACUUACCACAGGUCGAGGGUUCAUAGCCAACCCUAUACUGUCGACCUAGCUCAAUCUAGUGGCUAUACCACUAUACUCAUCAACCUAGGUUCCAACACUCUAGGUUCUAUGUCCACAUCACUUAACCUAGAUACACUUGCUAGGUUCUUAUCAUCUUUGCCUAGAUGUCCACUUCUAGGUUUAUUAGUUCAACCUAGGUUUACUAACACUAGGUCAAAUGCCACACACCUAGAUUGUUCGACUCUAGGUUUACUAAUCGACCUAUGUUCUUUAACACUAGGUUAGAUGCCACUCGAUCUAUCUGACAACCUAGUUGUCCAAUCAACUCUAUUUACACUAGAGUUAUCAUGUCACUUACUUAGCUCUCAUGAUGCUACUUUGCAUUCUCUACUUUAACUAGCAUUAUAUACAUGCUAUGCUCAUUAUGCUCUCUACUUAGCAUUUCCAUCUAUGCAUAAUUAGUACAUGCAUUCUUUACAUCAACUAGCAUUAAUUACUUAGCAUGCUUUCCAUUUAGCAUUUGCAUCUUAUGUUAAUCAUGUUCUCUACUUAACAUUUACUAGUAUAGCUCUAUGCAUCAUUAUUUAACAUGCAUUUACACUAUGCAUCAUUAUCAUCAUGCAUUCCAAUUACUUGCUUGCAUUAUUUAUUUAUCAUGCUCAUCAUACAUUCUUUACUUUUCUUGCAUUUACUCUAUGCAUGCAUUGUUAUUAACAUGCAUUUACUUUACAUCAUGCAUCAUUGUUAACUUGCAUCCUUUACUUAGCCUUUACCUUAUGCAUAUUUACUAAUGCAUCAUUUAGCCUUGUCUACAUGCACAUGCAUCAACGUGAGAUUACAUUGCUAAGACAUAAAGGGCGACCUAGUCGCUUCGGUAAGCACAAGCCACCUUAACUCGCGUUCCGAUUGCUUGUCGACACUUGCAAUCAGCCUCCCGCGGUACCCGCAUCCGGCACGGCCCGAUACUGCAACUGCGCCUCAACCGUGCUCCGCUUCACAUCCCCGAAAAUUAUAGGUCUUCGGUUAUGUGCCACGAUGCCUCAAAUCCAUUUCCAUGAUUUUACGACGUCGCCUCGGCCCUCCAGGCGGAAACGAAACCUAAACGUCCGUUUCUUUAAUAACUUCGCGUAGGCUCGACGAAACGCCGAACGGACUUCGCCAACGCGUUCGUUUACCUAGCAAUUAGGUUUAUACAUGAUCAAAUUAGAUCAAAACCCCUCACAAGCAAAAACCCCUCUUUUGAUGCCCUAAGAUGCAACUAUGCAAGAAUUCAUCAUUUAAUAUCAAAAUUCGAGCAUCAACCAUCUAUUUAGCAUCUAGGAGUUUCACUAAACCCAUUUCUAAGGCAUACAAAUCAUUACUUAGCAAUCUACCAUUAUUGCUAACAAAGCUUACCUCUCAAACCCAAGCUCUCUUCAAGCCAAUAGUGAAGAAAAGGAAGGCUUCACCUCUAAGCAAGCUUUUUCUUCUCCAAAUCCACCUCCAAUUCUCUUUGGUGGAGAAAUUGCUAGAGAGAGAGAUCUUUCUCUUUGGUUGUAAGUGUGAGGGAAAGAGAGAAAAGGCUCAAUCCUUCAUACAUAUAUAUGCAUAUAGGAAACUUGACCUCCAAGUUUUAUCCAAGAACACUAUUCACAUUCAGGCAGCUCGAAAUCUGAUAUCUUUCGCCGGAGCCCUCUGAAUAUCCGUUUGAGCUCAAAUUUGAAGUCAUGUUCGGUUUUACUUAAAAGAGUCCAAAGAAAUUUUAAUAUUUCAGUUUCGACCCCGUUUGGUCACCGAAAGCUGUACCGAAUUGUAAUCUUUAUCAGAUAACUUUCAGAUUUUAUUUCUCACUCUACGGUUGUCAGAAAAAUAUGAAACUUUAAAUCUAGCCUCAUUAAAAUAUUUCUGGCAUCCCCGCCAAUUUUCAUAAUUUUCUGAGACUGUGCAUUUUCUGCUAAUUUAUCUGCCCCGUUUCUUACAGAAAAUUCUAAAUCUUCUGUUGUCGCUCCGAUUUCAGCACAGGUCAUUUCCAACUUAUACUUUACACCCUUAAAUCCAAUAAAAAUAGUAUCUCAUACUAUUUUUAUUUAUUUUCACUUUUAUAUUUAAAAUCCGGUAUGUUACAUUCCGCCGCAACCUCACCGGAGCCAUUUAAAUGUAUACCGUAACUUCAUAGUUUUAGAAGUCCGGUACCUUACAUUCUCCCCUCCUUAAAAAGAGUUUCGUCCCCGAAACUCACUCACUUCAACCCAAUUCACACUCUAAUUCUCUUUCGUGAGUGACAAGGGGUACAGUGCACUUUUGCAUCUCGGAGUGGCUUUUCGCUCAUCGGAACUAUCCAUAGGCUCACUACGGAAGAUGUGAGACUAGAUUCACUCACAUUUGCCACGUGCAGCUCCAAAAGUGUAUUACCACCAUGCAAAGAACUACUCUUGCAUUAUACACCAAAACGAAAAAUUUCACUCCGAUUCGAUCACCUGCAUUGCUUAGAAGCAAUAUCGUUGGUGACUCGACCAAUCGCGAGUGGUUCAUCACAACCGGAUCCUUGUUCUAUCACGAGAUGACCCAUUCCGGCACAUCUCCAAUCUCAAUCCACAUCUAAUCCUUGGGUUGGGUCACCACACACUCGAUGCGUCAUCAAUCUCAUGAUCUAUCACGUGGCAUUCCACGUACUCGGGUCUCAGCUCGGACUACCGUCCUGACCAAAACUCUCCGCCCUACCUAUAGGUAUCGGGCCGCUGUCUCUCACAGCCGACUGCGCCUGCCCAAUGGGCCCAGGCUCCACAGUCCACAGAUGGUCCAGGCACGGGUCGUCCCCAAGCACUACCCGCCAUCGUCGUCCCACACGACAUGCUCUACAGAGCUACACACUCUAUCGGCUCCUAGGCACCUAGUGCGAGCCACCAGCCCUCACGAGUGAUCCAUGGCCCGCUUCACACUUAGCCCUGCUGAAGUGCUACUGCCAAUUCACUCGACAGGCUGAAUCGAAACCGUACUCUACGAGUAUCUAUACUCGAGCGCUUUAAGCCUCUACAGCGUCUCACACGAAGCCUAGCAUCAGGCAACUUAGCCUAUGCACACCUGCCACACAGGCAUAACUCAUCCACCCCAACUCGAGGUACUACUAGGCCAACAGGCCAAACUCGGCACUAACCGACCAAUUUCACGACAGCGGUUCAUCUUCGCUGUACGAUCUACCGAAUCCACAUCCGAAAUACUUUUGGGAUAUUCGGGUGUUUCCAAACAUCAAGGCCCGACUCUCGAAAUCUCUAACCCAUCACUUUGAGAGUCCUUUCAUCAUUCGGUUUCCAUUGCGAACCUCGUUUCCUGUCCAACAUCACCACUAGCCAUUUGCUAGCACCACUUGGCUUUCGACUUGCACCAGCAGGUGCCACUUCUCACGACGCAAGCAUGUACGGGUGUCUACUUACCCGACUAUUCGGUCCCUACUAUGCAAUGUAUAAAUAGUAGCAACUGACCAUAUGAUAAAUGCAUGCUAUGCAUCAACUUGAGAUCAUGCAAAAGUAUAUGCUUGCUCAAUUAACUCAUACCUGCCACAACGUCAUCAGCAACGGCAGGCACCACAGCUCGGGUCGCUUAUCCAUGGCCACUUGGCGCUCGUCGCGAACCCUCUGGUUGCAUCACUCUCAACGGCCGCUCCCCCGACCAUGCCGCAGGUGGCACACCCGCCGGCUGUCCCAAGGAGGAAUGGGCCGUCGCCAGUGUCAAGGCCCGGUUACCACCUUGUGGACACUCGUCCCGCACAUGGCUCGGCAGCCCACACUUGAAGCACUUGCCCUCUCGCUGUUCACAUUGCUGUGGAAAAUGAGGGCCUCCACAAAUUGCACAUCUCGCCGAGGACCGAAUAUGAUACGUCCCCGGAGCUCUAGAUCGAGAGCGCGUCCUCACUGAGGUCUGUUGGGAACUUGAUUGACCAUCGUGUCCGCUCACUGGCCGUCCUUUCCCUUUUUCCUUGUAGUGUUCCUCACGCUUCUCCCGCAGGAAAGCAUUGCCUUGUUCUAUCCACAAGGCCCGAUCCAGGACUUCAGCAAAAGUCUGCAACUUUAGCACAAGCACCGUCUGGUACAGGUCUGGCCGAAGUCCACGCACAAAGCAGUCGGCCUUGUCCUUGUCAUCCCGCACCACGUUUGGAACACAAUGCACAAUACGGGAAAAUUCUCGCUCGUAUUGCCUGACCGUGCGACUUCCUUGCCGCAGCUUAAGAAACCUCUCCUGAAGUUUCCGCUUCUCGCUAUCGGGGAAAUAAGCAGAGAACAACAUUCCCCGAAAUUCUUCCCAAGUCAUUGGAGGGAGACUAGGCAGUCGAUCUCGCUUGACGCCCUUCCACCACACCUUCGCCGAUUGUUUCAGAUAAUGCGCGGCUAGGUUCACUUUGUCUCGCUCCAGCGUGUACAGAUCCUCGAAGAGUGUUUCCAUGGAAUCAAUCCACAUCUCAACGACCAAUGGAUCUGCAUCCUCACCAUCAAAGGUAGGCGGAUCAAACUUCUUAAAAGUCAUGAGGGCCGCUAAAGCUCGCUCCCUUUCCGCCGCAACCUCAGGGCCAACAGGAGUCGGAUCGCCCAACCCCGACGGAAACAGCUCCGCCGCAACUCUCGGCUGUCCUGACCAGCCGCAGCUGGUGCUGCGACCAGCCGAUCCACAGUCUCUUGGAGUCGUUCCAUUCGCUCUUCUUGGCGCAUAGCAGCCUCCUGCUGCCGUUGCACCACAUCAGCUUGUUGUCGCAUCACUCCAAUGAGUGUGGCCAACUGAUCGCGAAGCUCCGAGUCUCCGCUCGCGUCAAUUUGCUCAGGGACGCCACUUGUCCCCUCCCGCGCCGAUCUGGACGAAGAUCGCCUACGCGGUGCCAUCGUUUCCUGAAACACGACAACUCGAUUAGCUCUCGACCCUCCGGGUCGAACACGAGACCACUAACACCGGCUCAAAAGCCAAUUAGGCGAAAGUCGAACAAGGACGUCUAUUCUCGUCACUCGGCUUUAUGUUGUGCGCGCCCAACAUAAGCACACUUGGUCGAGAAUAAACCAUACCUUGAGUCUGCCUCUAAAAUCCGUCUUAGAGGUUUACGACACAACCAAAUCCAUAAUCCUUUCGCCACGAAUCACAAGUCCUCGUCUCUCACGAGCCUUAUUCUCCUAUGGUUUACUAUCCUAGGGUCUCCUAGGUCUGUCUGAACCAUUUUUUCCCAUUUUCUACUUUAUGCUCUGAUACCAUCUUAUCUGUCACGCCCCGCGACCAACCGCCAAUUUGGACCGGGUCGCGGCGCCGCCGACAGACCGCCGAACGGACCGGGAAUUCCCCUGUCCGCGGACAGAGUCUCCCCAGUACGUCCAAGGCGUCGCAAUCCAAACAAUCAACGAAUGUUCCAACAAGGAACGGAUAUCAAUCCAGAUUGCAUAAGGAAGUAUCAAAUACAUAAUCUACUUGCUAUUACAAGCAUACAUUUCACAAUCACGUUAUACAUCACAGUUUCAGUUUACAUUUUUACUUCCAAUUACAAUCUUAUUAUUACAUCAGAGUUUGAUAUAUUUUCUUUUCUUGUCUUCUAGACCCCUAAGCUAGACUGUCUCAAGGUACUGCUACCUCGGUCUCUGUGGUGGGGCGCUAUCUACUGAGCUACGCCCUCGCCUCGCGCCGCCGCGCCGCACACGAACGACCUGAAAACCCCAAAACAACGUGGGGUGAGAACCAACUCCAUGGUUCCCAGUGGGUACGGCCACCCAAGGGAAAAGCUCGACCGAUAGGUCCGAGGAGGCACUGCAACAUGUUAGUUCAACAAUAUACAACAGAUAUAUAUAUUCAAUUGAAAUACAUGCCAUGCCUCACGAUAUGCGAUAUGAAAAUCAUGCAGCAACUAGUAGAUCAUUUGAAUUCUACUUUUACUUGGCUACUUUAGCUCAUAACUUUACUCUAAGGUUUCUACUACCUUAGGAUCACAACACUAACCACUGGCUUCUAAGGUUUCUAUUACCUUAGCUCAAGCCUCUAUCUCUAGCUCAUAAGGGUUUCUCUACCCUAUCAUAGCUAACCACCCGACUCGGCUUCGAGUCAAUCAUCCGCGGAUAGUCCGCGCACUGGCUGCUCAACAGCCUACCGCNUAUUCACAUCAGGCAGCUCAAAAUCUGAUAUCUUUCGCCGGAGCUCCCUGAAUAUCCGUUUGAGCUCAAAUUUGACAGUCAUGUUCGGUUUUGCUUAACUUAACGAAAGAAAUUUUAAUCUUUCAGUUUCGACCCCAUUUGGUCACCGAAAACUGUGCCGAACUGCAAUCUUUUAUCAGAUGGCUUUCGGAUUUUAUUUCUCACUCUACGGGUGUCAGAAAAAUACGAAACUUUAAAUCUAGCCUCAUAAGAAUAAUUUUGGCUUAUCCUCCAGUUUUCAGAAUUUUCUGACACUAUGCGUUUUCUGCUAAUCUAUCUGCCCCGUUUCACACAGAGAAUUCUAAAUCUUCUGUUUUCGCUCCGAUUUCAACACGGGCCAUUCCAGACUUAUAUUUUAUGUCUAUAAGUCCAAUAAAAUAGUAUUUCACACUAUUUUCAUUUAUAUUUAUUUUUAUAUUAAAAUUUCAGCAUACUACACCCCACCGCAACUUCAUAGUUUAAGAAGUUCGGUACCUUACACCUAGGCUAUGCCGACUCGGGUUACCGCUAUCUCUGGUCUCUGGGGUAGGGCACUAUCUAUGGAGCUACGCCCUUGCCUCACGCCGCCGCGCCGCUCACGUGCGAACCUGUAACACCCCAAAAUAACGUAGGGUGAGAACCAACUCCAUGGUUCCCAGUGUGUACGGCCACCCAAGGAAAAAGCUCGACCGAUAGGUCCAAGGAGGCACUGCAAUCAUGUUAGUCCAAAAACAUCUACAGAUAUAUAUAUCGUAAUGUAAUUAUGCAACUAACAGAUAACAUGCCUUGCAAUAUGCAAUAUGAAUAUAUGCAAUCAACUAGUAGAUCUAUUGAUUCUAUGUUCAACUUUGCUAAUUUUAGAUCAUGUCAUUCAAUUCUAAGGUUUCUACUACCUUAGGUUCACAACUCAAGUGCCAUUUGCUUCUAAGAUCUCUAUUACCUUAGCUCCUGCUUCUAUCACUAGCUUAUAAGGUUUACAUUAACCUAAUCAAGCUAACCACCCGACUCGGCCUCGAGUUAAUCAUCCGCGGAUAGUCCACGCACUGGCUGCACCUCAGCCUGGCUGCCGUCAUAGCCUACCGCACCUCUGACUUAACCAUCUGGCGGCAAAUUCAUCGCAUCGAACCCAACAACGACUCAAGUCAUGACUUAGCCAUCUGGCGGCGAACUCAUCGCAUCACACCCAACAAUGGUUUAAGUCGUGACUUAGUCAUCUGGCAGCGACCACAUCGCCCUUACCCAGCAAUGGUUCAAGUCAAUCUAGGCGGCAUCAUCCGAUAAGCUAAAUGGGCGAGGAGAACCACACAUACCCAAUUCCAGCUUAUUCUCAUGGCAUCCCGGGCGAGGAGAACCACACAUACACGUUGAAUCACUGCCAGGCGAGGAGAACCACACAUACCUGCAGUUAUGAUUCUAUUUGCCAUCUCUUUUAUCAUAAGUUCCCACCGCUUCUUUUGCGGCCACUUCACUAGGGAUUCCGGAGUCCACUUCACAUAACUCAAGGGUUGGUCUCAAACUCUAUAGUAUUGACCUAUCUAGGUCCAAUGUCCUUUUCACCCUAGGUCCAACUGACUCUAGGUUCAAUGUUUCUAUCACAUAACCUAGGUUUACUUUAACUCUAGGCUCAAUCCAUAACCUAUGUUCUCGACACUAGGUUAAUGCCACACACCUAGAUUCAAUUAACUCUAGGUUCAUUCUCAACCUAUGUUCUUUAACACUAGGUUAGAUGCCACUCGACCUAUGUUUAAUAACACUAGGUUCAUUGUCAUUCAUGUUCAACCUAUGUUUAAUACACUAGGUUAAGUGCCACUCGAUCUAUUCGACAUCCUAAUUGUUCACAUCGAGUUCAAUAGAUAUUCACAUUUUAUCUAGCAUGCAUUAUAUGAUGCCAACAUGCAUAUUCUUUCUAACAUGAUCUCAUAGCUCCAAAAUGCUCCUAACAUUUAUUCCACUAAGCAUAUAUAUAUCAUCAUGCUCACAAUGCCAAUAUGCAUCUUAUCUAACAUGAUCCACAACAUGUUAACAUUCAUGUCUAUCUCACAUGAUCUCAUAAUGCUAUCAUACAUUUACCAUCUAGAGCUUGCAUUUAACAAUUAGAACAUAUUCAUAAUGUGUUAACAUGCAUAUAAUCUAGCAUUUUCUCAUCAUGUCAUCAUACAUGUAUUAACUAGCAUAUUUACAUUAUGUCAUUAACAUACAUUCUUUACAAUAUGCUCACAUGCAUUAUUUAGUAUUACUACAUGCAUCAUCUUGCAUUUACAUGCAUCAAUAUGAAAUCACGUUUCUCUUAGACAUAAGGGCGACCUAGUCGCUUCGGUAAGCACAACCCACUUCGAUUCGCUCUCUGAUUGCUUGUAGUCACUUGCAAUCGGCCUCCCGCGGCACCCGUAUCCGGCACGGCCCAAUCUUGCAGUUGCGCACAAACCGUGCGCCGAAUCGCGGCCCUAGAAAUUAUAGGUCUACAGUUAGUUGCCAUGAGCCCCCGAUUAUAUUUUCAUGAUUUUUGGACGUCGCCUCGGCCCUCCAAGCGAAAACGAAGCUAAACAGUCUGUUUCUUCGAUAUCUUCGGGUAGGCUCGACGAAUGCUCAAACCGAGUGCACGAACGCGUUCGGGGACCUAGCAAUUAGGUUUACGGAGGGUCAAUUGAGAUCAAACCCUCAUAUUUCCAAAAACCCCAAAAUUGGAGCCCUAGAUGCAAUUAUAGCAAAAUACUCCAAAUUGAUUCAUGAAUCAAGUAUUUUCCAUCUAUUUAGCAUGCUAGGAUUUCAUCUAAACCAUUCUUAGAGCAUAUAAAUCAAACCCUAAGAAAUCACCAUGAAUGGACAUCAAGCUUACCUCCAAAGCUUGCUCCAAAUGCAAGGAAGAAGAAGAAGAAGAGGAAGAUCUACUCCUUUGCCUUCUUCUCCACCAAUCCCUCCUCCAAGAUCCACCUUUUUAGAGUGAGAGAGAGAGUUUAGAGAGGGAGAGUGUGUGUGAGGGUGAGAGAAAUGAGAGGGGAGAGCUCCAACCCCAUUCUAUACACUCUCAUAAUGCCACAAAUGCAAAUAACCCCCUCAACUUCCAUUUUAGUGCACAGCCCCCGCGGGGCCAUUUUUUGUAUAAGUGACCGGUCCUUGGACUUGAGGGACCAGUCCCCGUAGGUCCAGAAUUCCAGCAUUUUUAGGACUUAGCCAAAUUUCAGCCUUUUUCGUUUCUUCUCCGUUUUCGCUCGUUUUCGCUCGUUUGGCCUCCGAUUCUUUUCAAAUUUAACCGAGACUCUCCAAACAUAUUUUCAAGCAUAUUUUCAUCAUCUUUUCAUCCACGCUAAUGCCGAAUUUAGUCCAUGAUCCAACAUAGCCUUUCGGGUCCCGUUUUUGCGACUACGCGCACCGAAAAUGCCCGAAUGCUUCCGAACUUCACCGGAAACAUUCCAAUAGCUCUCCAAACCAAUAUAAAUCGUAACGUCAUUAUUUUAGAAGUCCGGUACCUUACACAACCUGUUGCAGGUUCAAUGGGUAGAAACAAGUUGAAUAGGUAGCUAUGAGGAGCACUGUUUUAUAUCCUCAUCUCUAUGGCGACAGUGCUCAUAUCUGCAAGCGGAUAGGAAGGGCGUUGGCUCUGAAUGGCUCCGAGACCUAUAAGGCAGGGUAUGACCUUGCAGAUACUCUUUGAGGACCUACUAUAUGUGUGGAGUCGUGAGGCCGCGAUUAUGGGAAUAGGGCGGUUCCCUAAAACACACAGGAAACGAUAUUAGCGCAUGGCCAUAAAAGCGCUCAUCCGCUUAGAAUCUAAACGGCUGUACCAUGUGUGCUGUUUGUGGAAAUCCGAUUCAUCGGCCUUGGUUCAAGGCGAAGUCUACCAUUGUGCCCUCGGAUGUAUAUAGACAAGUACUAAGUGAAG